rnacentral:rRNA from 2 species
CAUGCAAGUCGAACGCGUUGGCCCAAUUGAUUGAUGGUGCUUGCACCUGAUUGAUUUUGGUCGCCAACGAGUGGCGGACGGGUGAGUAACACGUAGGUAACCUGCCCAGAAGCGGGGGACAACAUUUGGAAACAGAUGCUAAUACCGCAUAACAGCGUUGUUCGCAUGAACAACGCUUAAAAGAUGGCUUCUCGCUAUCACUUCUGGAUGGACCUGCGGUGCAUUAGCUUGUUGGUGGGGUAACGGCCUACCAAGGCGAUGAUGCAUAGCCGAGUUGAGAGACUGAUCGGCCACAAUGGGACUGAGACACGGCCCAUACUCCUACGGGAGGCAGCAGUAGGGAAUCUUCCACAAUGGGCGCAAGCCUGAUGGAGCAACACCGCGUGAGUGAAGAAGGGUUUCGGCUCGUAAAGCUCUGUUGUUAAAGAAGAACACGUAUGAGAGUAACUGUUCAUACGUUGACGGUAUUUAACCAGAAAGUCACGGCUAACUACGUGCCAGCAGCCGCGGUAAUACGUAGGUGGCAAGCGUUAUCCGGAUUUAUUGGGCGUAAAGAGAGUGCAGGCGGUUUUCUAAGUCUGAUGUGAAAGCCUUCGGCUUAACCGGAGAAGUGCAUCGGAAACUGGAUAACUUGAGUGCAGAAGAGGGUAGUGGAACUCCAUGUGUAGCGGUGGAAUGCGUAGAUAUAUGGAAGAACACCAGUGGCGAAGGCGGCUACCUGGUCUGCAACUGACGCUGAGACUCGAAAGCAUGGGUAGCGAACAGGAUUAGAUACCCUGGUAGUCCAUGCCGUAAACGAUGAGUGCUAGGUGUUGGAGGGUUUCCGCCCUUCAGUGCCGGAGCUAACGCAUUAAGCACUCCGCCUGGGGAGUACGACCGCAAGGUUGAAACUCAAAGGAAUUGACGGGGGCCCGCACAAGCGGUGGAGCAUGUGGUUUAAUUCGAAGCUACGCGAAGAACCUUACCAGGUCUUGACAUCUUGCGCCAACCCUAGAGAUAGGGCGUUUCCUUCGGGAACGCAAUGACAGGUGGUGCAUGGUCGUCGUCAGCUCGUGUCGUGAGAUGUUGGGUUAAGUCCCGCAACGAGCGCAACCCUUGUUACUAGUUGCCAGCAUUAAGUUGGGCACUCUAGUGAGACUGCCGGUGACAAACCGGAGGAAGGUGGGGACGACGUCAGAUCAUCAUGCCCCUUAUGACCUGGGCUACACACGUGCUACAAUGGACGGUACAACGAGUCGCGAACUCGCGAGGGCAAGCAAAUCUCUUAAAACCGUUCUCAGUUCGGACUGCAGGCUGCAACUCGCCUGCACGAAGUCGGAAUCGCUAGUAAUCGCGGAUCAGCAUGCCGCGGUGAAUACGUUCCCGGGCCUUGUACACACCG